rnacentral:rRNA from 1 species
UGGGGAAUAUUGGACAAUGGGCGAAAGCCUGAUCCAGCCAUGCCGCGUGUGUGAAGAAGGUCUUCGGAUUGUAAAGCACUUUAAGUUGGGAGGAAGGGCAGUAAGCGAAUACCUUGCUGUUUUGACGUUACCGACAGAAUAAGCACCGGCUAACUCUGUGCCAGCAGCCGCGGUAAUACAGAGGGUGCAAGCGUUAAUCGGAAUUACUGGGCUUAAAGCGCGCGUAGGUGGUUCGUUAAGUUGAAUGUGAAAGCCCCGGGCGCAACCUGGGAACUGCAUCCAAAACUGGCGAGCUAGAGUAGGGCAGAGGGUGGUGGAAUUUCCUGUGUAGCGGUGAAAUGCGUAGAUAUAGGAAGGAACACCAGUGGCGAAGGCGACCACCUGGGCUCAUACUGACACUGAGAUGCGAAAGCGUGGGGAGCAAACAGG